rnacentral:lncRNA from 1 species
CAUGAGACGCCACUUGAUUUGAUCUAGUUGGAUGCGCCCGUUUGAUUGAGGGUAUGAAGGACUAGCUAGGGGGCAUCCCAUAUUUUCAUGUGGUGUGUGACACUACAAGAAAUAAGAUAAUUAGCUAUGCAAAAAAAGCAUAGCUAAAUAACAACAAAGUGUAGCUAAAUAUAACUACCAAUGUAAAAUAUGUUGGCAAAUAUGUGUCGGCAUAAGGGGGG